CAGGCCUAACACAUGCAAGUCGAGCGGUAACAUGGUUGGUAGCAAUACUAACUGAUGACGAGCGGCGGACGGGUGAGGAACACGUAGGAACCUACCAUUAAGAGGGGGAUAACUAAGGGAAACUUUAGCUAAUACCGCAUAAUCUUGAGAAAGCAAAGUUGCCGCAAGGUGACACUUAAUGAGGGGCCUGCGUCCGAUUAGCUAGUUGGUGAGGUAAGAGCUCACCAAGGCGAUGAUCGGUAACUGGUCUGAGAGGACGACCAGUCACACUGGGACUGAGACACGGCCCAGACUCCUACGGGAGGCAGCAGUGGGGAAUCUUGGACAAUGGGGGCAACCCUGAUCCAGCGAUGCCGCGUGAGUGAAGAAGGCCCUCGGGUCGUAAAGCUCUUUAGGUUGGGAAGAAGUUUGUUUGGUGAUAAUCCAAGCAGAUUGACGGUACCGACAGAAUAAGCACCGGCAAACUCUGUGCCAGCAGCCGCGGUAAUACA
rnacentral:rRNA from 1 species